rnacentral:rRNA from 1 species
GAUGAACGCUGGCGGCGUGCCUAAUACAUGCAAGUCGAGCGAACGGACGAGAAGAUUGCUUCUCUGAUGUUAGCGGCGGACGGGUGAGUAACACGUGGAUAACCUACCUAUAAGACUGGGAUAACUUCGGGAAACCGGAGCUAAUACCGGAUAAUAUUUUGAACCGCAUGGUUCAAAAGAGAAAGACGGUUUUGCUGUUACUUAUAGAUGGAUCCGCGCUGCAUUAGCUAGUUGGUAAGGUAACGGCUUACCAAGGCAACGAUGCAUAGCCGACCUGAGAGGGUGAUCGGCCACACUGGAACUGAGACACGGUCCAGACUCCUACGGGAGGCAGCAGUAGGGAAUCUUGCGCAAUGGGCGAAAGCCUGACGGAGCAACACCGCGUGGGUGAUGAAGGUCUUCGGAUCGUAAAACUCUGUUAUUAGGGAAGAACAUAUGUGUAAGUAACUGUGCACAUCUUGACGGUACCUAAUCAGAAAGCCACGGCUAACUACGUG